UACGAAGGGGGCUAGCGUUGUUCGGAAUUACUGGGCGUAAAGGGCGUGUAGGUGGCCCGUUAAGACAGGUGUGAAAUUCCUGGGCUCAACCCAGGACGUGCGCCUGUGACUGGCGGGCUUGAGUCCGGGAGAGGAUGGUGGAACUCCCAGUGUAGAGGUGAAAUUCGUAGAUAUUGGGAAGAACACCCGUGGCGAAGGCGGCCAUCUGGACCGGUACUGACGCUAAGGCGCGACAGCGUGGGGAGCAAACAGG
rnacentral:rRNA from 1 species